GCCUGGGCUAUUAUUGAUGGAUCGUCGUCGUCGCCUCCGGUGGUCCGGCGAAAUCCAUCCACCCACCAAACCACACCACCGGAGUAGGAGUAGAGCACCAUCAGGCUGCCCAAAAUGCCGUCCCCAUCUCUCCUCCUCCUCCGCGCCCCUCCUCCCUCGCCGCACCUCACCUCACCCAUCCACCGAUGCCUCGCCCUCCCCUCCCCCUCCCUCAGACCAACAACCCGCGCGCCUCUGCGCCUGGCCUCCGCCGCGGGGUCCCGUCGCGCCCCACGGGCCGCCGCCGCCCGCGUCGUGGAGCCGGGCGACGCCGGUGCCAGCGGCGCCCUCAUCCCGAUCGCGCGCUGCUACGAGGGCCACCUCGCGCGCCUCGACCUCGCCGGCGCCGCGCGCCGGGAGCAGGCGGUCGCCGCCGCGGCCGCCGUCGACGGAGCGGCCGCAGCGGAGGCGCACCUCGCCGCCGGCGCCGAGGCCAUGGUCGUUGAGGCGUUCCUCCCCGGGCCCAAUGGGGGAGGGACGACCGCAUCGUCGUCCACACGAGUGAUUUUGCAAGCCAAGGAAGUCAAAGACAAGGCCAGUAAGAUAAAGAAACAAUUUGGGUCCGAGUUUUUCUCUGAAAACGAACCUGGUUCAGAGACUAUGUUGGCUAUGGCCUUUAAGCAAGUUGUAAUGCAGCGGCUUUCAAACUUUCGGCUCGAGGUCUUCUCCCCAGGUUCAGAGAGAGACUCCCAAGACUUGGGCAAACCACGAAAGGUGUCCAUGGACUUUAGCGUCAUUUCAUCAGAUGAAAAACUUCUGGCUUCUCUUGCCGAAGCCAUUUUCUCCUGCGUCAUCCAGGAUGCCAGCAAGAAUCACCUCGGGGCCACAGGCAGUUUGUUUCACAAGCAGCAGCUCAACUGCUCAAUUGAUUCCUCCGUUUGUAUACACAAAAUUUCUGAGGCAGAAAUAGUGAGAAGUGCUAAGAGAUGCCUGGAGAGUUUUCAUCUAAUGAAGUCUCCUCAGAAUGCGCGCAAAAUAAAGAAUGGAUGGUGGCCAGCACCAAAUUAUGAAAGUUUGGUGAAGAUUGGGGGUCAUGAGUUUGCCCUUUGGGCCAAUGAGUACGUUCCUACCUAUAAACUGCAAAUAAAAGCCAAAGCAUUUGAGAAUACUUAUCUUGAAGGCCGUCAUGAGUCAGAAAGUAAUAGGUGGGAAGUUCUCUUGACCCACUCCCAACUGGUGGAACUAGGGAGCGUUAUAGACAUGUACUUCGAAGAUCAAUUCACAUUACCAGGCAAAACUUUCCAUCCUUACUGGAAUUCAGAUCCAUCAAAGAUUAAAAAGAACAAUGGCUAUUUGAACAGCCUUUUUAGUUUAUUGGCUGGUAGCUGUAUUAUUCUUUUUGUCGCCAUCUUUGCUCAGUUAUGCUGGCCUCGAUCUCUUGGAGACAAAAGGCUAUUCAAUGGAAGUUCAAAUGUGUCAUCGUCUCAAAGCUAUUGUUCUGAUAUCAAGUCUCUUGAUAGCAGCGAGAUACAAGCUUAUUGCACACCUCUUAUUAAGAAAAUGAAAGACUCAUAUGGCUGCCCUGGUGAUGUAAUGGUUGAUGCACAUAUUGGAGCUUGGGUUGGAGAACUGCCUGAUUGCUUCAAGGGAAUCAACAGCGAGGAUAAUGCUGCUUCUGACAAUGUUCAGCAUCCCUACACUUUUAGCCAGGAAAAUCAAGCCCAAUUGGUGCCAAUUAAUACUAAGGUGUCUCAUUUGGAACAAAAUGAUGGAAUUCAGGAAACCGUGCAGAAUAUUGCUAGUUUUCAGGUGGUCAUGUCAGAAGAAGGUAAAGUAGUGGGAUUUCAGCCAACUAACCGCCCAGCUGUGAACCAUUGGUCAACAAACCCACUAGCUACACUUCUGUAUCAGGGGCGAACACUUUCUCCAGGUAUUCUGGAACCAAAGCUUAAAAUUUCUCGUCCAGCUAAGGCUGUCCCAAUUGAAUUGUUGAUGUCGGUAAAUCAAGAUUCCUUUUUUGCUUUGGCAAGGCCUUUUCAAGAUCAAUGGUAGCAGAGAAUGAAAGAUUUAGUUGCUCUGAUGAUGUAAUGGUUGAUGCAAAUAUUGGAGCUUGGGUUGGAGAGUUGGCUGACUGCUUCAUGGGCAUCAAUAGCAUGGAUAGUGCUGCUUCUGAUGAUGUUCAACAUCUGGAUGGUUAUAUCCUAGAAAAAUCAACUGCAGUUUGUGCCUAUUAAUUUUCAGAAGGGUUGUUUGGAACGAAAUUAUACAACUCAGGAAACCCUGCCUAAUAUUGCUAGUUUUCAGGAAAAGACUGCAUUAUCACUUUUGCUGGUACAUGUCAUGGCCUUAGCCCAGAUGUGGUCCAAAGGCCAAGUGGAAGGAGUUCAAUCCUAGAAUCUCUUGCUGUCUGGCUCUAGGUGCCAGCCUCCUCCGGCCAGAUCGCCACUGCCCCUUCAUGAUUCACCUAUGUAGGUGAUUAUGUCAGAAGACAGUUGAGUUGUGGGGCUUCAAGCAACUAGCUGCCUAUCUGCCUAUCUGUGAGCCAUUGGGGGAAAAAAACUGCAAGCAAAUUUAUGUUGUGAACUGGAACGCUCUAUCCAGCCAUUCUGGAGGCAAGGCUUAAAAUCUGUCGCCCAGCUAAGUUUGUUCCGGACUCCUGGUUCAACUAUUAAUGCCUGUAUAUCCAGAUUCAUUUUUUUUUUCGCUUUGGUGAGGCCAAAUGAAGACCAAUGCUAGCAAAG